CUUGAUUCUCUUUUGGCCAGCAGUUUUUAGGUCCGUCAGUAAUGCACUGCAAGAAUGGCAGAUUUUGGGAUCUCUGCUGGCCAGUUUGUGGCAGUGGUCUGGGAUAAGUCAUCCCCAGUGGAGGCUCUGAAAGGUCUGGUGGAUAAGCUUCAAGUGUUAACUGGCAAUGAGGGCCGCAGGUCUGUGGAAAACAUCAACCAGCUGUUGCAGUCUGCCCACAAAGAAUCCAGCUUUGACAUUAUUUUGUCGGGUUUAGUCCUGGGAAGCACCACUCUGCACAGUGCUGAGAUUUUGACUGAAAUCGCCCGGAUCCUUCGGCCUGGUGAAUGUCUUUUUCUGAAAGAGCCAGUAGAGACAGCUGUAGAUAACAAUAGCAAAGUGAAGACAGCAUCUAAGCUAUGUUCAGCCCUGACUCUUUCUGGUCUUAUGGAAGUGAAAGAGCUGCAGUGGGAGCCCCUAACCCCUGAGGAAGUACUGUCUGUUUGAGAAUAUCUUGGUCAUGAAAGUGACCGCCUGCUGUUUGUUCAGAUCACUGGCAAAAAACUAAACUUUGAAAUGGGUUCUUCUAGUCAGCUUAAGCUUUCCAUCACCAAGAAGUCUUCUCCUUCAGUGAAGCCUGCUGUGGACCCUGCUGCUGCCAAGCUGUGGACCCUCUCAGCCAACGAUAUGGAAGACGACAGCAUGGAUCUCAUUGACUCAGAUGAGCUGCUGGAUCCAAAAGAUUUGAAGAAGCCAGAUCUGGCUUCCCUGUGGGCUGCUUCUUGUGGAGAAGGGAAAAAGAGGAAGGCCUGCAAGAACUGCACCUGGGGCCUUGCUGAAGAACUGGAAAAAGAGAAGGCAAGGGAACAGAUAAGCUCCCAGCCCAAGUCGGCUUGUUGAAACUGCUACCUGGACGAUGACUUCCACUGUGCCAGCUGCCCCUACCUUGGGAUGGCAGGCUUCAAACCUGGGGAAAAGAUGCUUCUGAGUGAUAGCAAUCUUCACGAUGCCGAAGAGGGACCUGACAUGGGACCCAUCUGCUCCUCCAGCCAACUCCUGUCCCUCACAUCCCACCAUGGUGGCUCCUCCCACUUCCUCUGGAUUUGUUCACUCUGA